rnacentral:rRNA from 1 species
UACAGGGGGGGCAAGCGUUGUUCGGAAUUACUGGGCGUAAAGGGUUCGUAGGUGGCUUGCUAAGUCAGACGUGAAAUCCCUCAGCUUAACUGGGGAACUGCGUCUGAUACUGGCGAGCUUGAGUGCAGGAGAGGAACGCGGAAUUCCAGGUGUAGCGGUGAAAUGCGUAGAUAUCUGGAGGAACACCGGUGGCGAAGGCGGCGUUCUGGACUGCAACUGACACUGAGGAGCGAAAGCGUGGGUAGCAAACAGG